rnacentral:tRNA from 1 species
UCCCUGGUGGCUUAGAUGGUAAAGAAUCUGCCUGCAAUGCAGAAGACCCUGGUUCAAUUCCUGGGUUGAGAA